UCCAAAUAAAGAAAGCAAUUGGAUUUGGUGGAAGAAAUAAGUUGAAGAAAAUUGCAAUCGACGACGGAGAGGAAAAAUGGCAUCGGCGAUGUCCGGCGAAGGGAGGAGUUUGAAGUACGACGCGUUCCUUAAUUUCAGAGGCGCAGACACGCGGCAUAACUUUGUGAGCCAUCUCUACGAUGCUCUAAGACGAAAGGGAAUCACAACUUUCAUGGACCAUGGAAUCCAGAGAGCGGAGGACGUCAGUUCAUCGCUCCUCAAAGCAAUUGAAGAGUCCCGUAGUUCAAUAGUGAUUUUUUCAAAGAAUUACGCAGCUUCUCCCUGGUGCUUGGAUGAACUUGUGAAAAUUUUGGAAUGCAAAAGACGGGCGGGACAAAGGGUUUUACCAGUCUUCUACGAUAUUGAUCCGUCGGAGGUAAACUCUCUGCGGGGGAGUUACGGGGAAGCGCUUUCUCAACUUAAAAUUCGAUAUCCCGACAAGAUGCAUAGCUGGGCGGAUGCUUUGAGAGCGGUUUCCAACCUCAGCGGAUUGGUUUCAGGGGAUACUCGCCCUGAAUCUUUGCUUGUCCAUGAUAUUGUUACCUAUGUUUCCAAGACAUUGCCCCAACCAUCAUGCAACCUCCACGACGAUGGCUUAAUUGGAAUCGACUCGCGUGUUCGACAAGUGGAAUCAUUGCUUUGCCUGGAUUCGUUUGAUACCCGCAUUAUCGGAAUCUGGGGAAUGGGAGGCAUAGGUAAGACUACCAUCGCUAAAGCUGUUUUCGACCGACUGCGUGGAAACUUUGACAACUGCUGCUUUUUCACGGAGAACUUGAGAAAAUCUCCACCUCUGCAUUUGGAAAGGGAAUCUCUUUGUGAUAAAACUCCCACGCGUAAAAAAGUUCUUAUUGUUCUUGAUGAUGUCGAUAAAACAGUCGAUUUUAACUCCUUACUUGGAGGGCUGGAUCGGUUCGCACCUGGGAGUAGAAUCAUUGUAACAUCCCGGGACAGACAUGUGCUUGAAUUUUGUAGAGUGAACAGUGUGUACGAGGUUCAAGCAUUGAACAACCAUGAAUCUCUGCAGCUCCUUUGCCUUUCUGCUUUUAAAGGGAGCUUGCCACUUGAAAGUUAUAGGGAUCUCUUAAACAGGGUCACAACAUAUGCUAAGGGGCUUCCCCUGGCUCUUAAGAUAUGUGGUUCCUAUCUCUUUGGAAGAAGCGAAAUAGAAUGGGAAAGUGCAUUGAAUAAAUUGCAAACCUGCUUUGAUUCUCGGAUUCAGCAGGUGCUGUGCAUAAGCUAUGACAAACUAGAUAACCAUGAAAAGGAGAUUUUCCUUGAUAUUGCAUGCUUCUUCAGGGGUCAAGGCAUAGAUCGUGUCAAGGAAAUUCUAUAUGACUCCGGAUUUGAUGUGGAUAUAGGAAUCGCUUCUCUUCUUAAUAAAUCUCUAAUAUCUAUCUUUGAUAAAAAGCUUGAAAUGCAUGAUUUGCUACAGCAUAUGGGUAGGCAAAUUGUUCGCCAAGAGUCCGCUUCUAAGCUGGGCAGCCGUAGCAGGUUAUGGGACUCCAACGAUAUUUAUCAGGUGUUGGCUUAUAAUCAGGGGACUGAAGCAGUGAGGGGUAUAAACUUAGAUGUGUCCAGAAUACGCAAGCUGAACAUAAGCUCUCAUGCAUUCACAAAGAUGCGCAAUCUUAAAUUCCUGAAGUUCUAUACUCCCUUUACUAAAUCCGUGGAAGACGACAGCUCAUUGUAUGCUUUGGAAGGCCUUGUUCAUCUUCCUGCCAGCCUUAGACUACUUCAUUGGCAAAGCUAUCCAUCCAAGUCCCUGCCAUCAAAUUUUGAUCCAAGUCGGCUUGUUGAUCUUAACUUGUGCUUUAGCAAUCUCGAGCUUCUUUGGGAGGGAACCAAGUGCCUUCAUAAUUUGAAGCGAAUCGACUUGAGUCACUCCAAACGCUUAGUGAAAAUGCCAGACUUUUCAUUGGCCCCAAAUCUUGAGAGUAUGAGUCUUGAAAGCUGCUCAUCUUUAUCUGAAGUUCACUCCUCCAUUCAACAUCUCAACAAGCUUGCAAUCCUCAAUUUGAAAGACUGCAUUAAACUCAAGUCUCUUUCAAUUACAACGAAUUUGGUAUCUCUCGAAAUGCUCAAUAUAUCUGGCUGUUCAAGGAUCAACAAGCUCGGAGGAAGCUCACCAAAUAUAAAAAGUUUAUUCCUGGAUGGGACUGUAAUAAGAGAACUUCCCCAAUCAAUUCAGCAUGUCAGGAAACUUGUUUGCUUGAGUCUCAAAAACUGCAAAUUGCUGAAGACACUUCCUAGUGAAAUAUGUAACUUGCAAUCACUCAAGACUCUUAAUCUCUUAGGAUGUUCAAGGCUGGAGAAUUUUCCUGAGAUUUUGGAGCCUAUGAAGAAUCUUGAGAUUCUUAGGCUGGAUGGGACAGCCAUUAGAGAGGUACCUAAGACCAGAGAAAUGGAUAAUCUUAAAAUCUUGUCAUUUGGAGAUUGCAAUCUGUUUGAAAUCCCCAAUGAUAUUUGCCGAUUUUCCUCGAUAGAGCAUUUAAAUCUCUCUGGAAAUAACUUUUCUAGCUUACCUUUGAACAUUAAACAAAUGAUUCAGCUUAAAUUACUUGAUUUAAGUUCCUGCACUAAUCUUCGAUCGUUGCCAGAGCUACCUUCACAUAUAGAAUAUCUAAAUGCACAUGAUUGUACAUCUUUAGAAAAUGUAUCGAUUCCGUCAAGUGUGCUCACAGUGUCAGAAUGGAGCCGUCCUAUGUUUUUGUUUACAAAUUGCUUCAAAUUGGAUUUCAGUGCUCUGCUGAAUAGCCAGUUUAUACAUGAUCAGGGGUCUGCAGUGUUGCCAUCUUCUGGUAUUUGCUUUCCUGGAAGUAAAAUCCCAGAGCAAAUUAGCCAUCAAAGUGUUGGGUGUUCAAUGGCUGUUUCACUUCCUGAGCAUUGGAUUAAUGGUAAUUUUAGGGGAUUUGCGCUAGCAGCUGUUCUUGGAUUUAAGGACUACCUUGACAAUCAUGGUUUUUUUGUUAAAUGCAAAAUCAAAUUAAGAACCAAGCACGAAGAAAAUAUAUCUCUGCAACAUGAUUUCAUCAUUUUCCAUGGGCGUUCUGGCCAUUGGAAUAGCUCCAGAAUCCUAGGGUCUGAUCAUGUCUUCCUGAGUUACAAUCACUAUAUCAAUCUAGUGGAAAUAUUGGGAGAUAUAUGGCAGAACGAAAGCUGUCAUAGUACAGCCUUGUUUGACUUUUAUGCUGUGGACAGUAUAGGAAGGCCAUUGCAGGGUUGCGAAGUUCGAGAGUGUGGAUUCAGUUUACAACUUGCUGAAGAUGAGAAUGAGUACAAUCCAAGUCGUUGUUACUAUUAGAAACGUAUAUAUGCAUCAGCCAUCCCGAGGUAUCAUUGUAUUAUUAUCUUUUGCAUAACACGGCUUCCCACUGAUUCCUUCUUCCGGCCAGGUAAAUGUGACGUGUAGUUGACACCUGUAACCACUUUUCCCGGGUAUCGGCAUUUAGACUAAUUUUUACAUGUGCUACCUGACUUCAAGGCUUCUGUCCGUGGCAGUUCCCAAUUUUUAACUGGUAUUGUACCACUCAAUAUUUUAAAUAGUAACUACAAAAACCUUGUUUCUUAAUUCCUGGCAGAAACGAUAUGUCAUCAUAGCUUGACGUAGGUUUAAUUUGCUUGCUAAGUGGCACAGACACUUCAUUCUAUCAGCAUUUUCCGGUUUGGAAACGUGUCAAAAAUUUGACUUUUCGGACACUAAAUUUCAUUUUUAGCAUAGGAAACAUAGUAUGCUUGAGUUUUAAAGAUUCAUAUUUUAGAGGUGAAAUUGAGCUUAUAGGAAUUAGUGUUUUCAAAAGUUAUGUGAAAGAAAUUGGGUUUUAGGGAUGGCCAUGGAAAAGAAGCUUAAAGUCAGGUGUGGCAGAUGAAUUGACCAAAACUUUUGUUGAGGAUGGAAUAAAGAUGGAAGCGAUGUAGGCUGAGGAUUGAAAGGCUUUGAUAGUCAUUUCCAGGAAAAGUUGUGAAGAUUUUGUUAGCACCAAGAGAUGGAAGCAUUUACAGAAGCAGAUCACUUGUUUUUUAUAGUAUGAACUAUGAAGUCAGACUCGGGUGGAUGGAAGCAUUUACAGAAGCAGAGCAUCAUCCAAGUGGAUUGCCUGGGUUUGUUCAUUUCACCACUUAUCUUGCUACUAUAUGAAUCUAUGUCAGGCUGUCUGGAGGUCCCUUCGGUCAUGCUCGCAACUUCCUUGUCAUGGAUAGUGUUAAUGCUGGCAUAUCCUGUGUCAUGAAAAUAAUUAGAGGCUAGGAAUACGUUCAAUCCCGGUCCAAUUUUGAAUCAAAGAAAGAACGUGAUAAAUUUGAAUCUGUUUGCAUUAUUUCCAGCAACUUUCCGGAAAACUGUUUGUCGUUUGAUAUGAGGAAGGGAUGGGUGAGAUUGGGAGUGAAGAUAAUGAUGAUGAUUGGGCAUGAAUAUAAGAGUAAUUGCACAAAAUUUGGAUGAUAUGGCUGCCACGUGGACCAAAAAAGUGUGCCAAUAAUAUUUAGGGUAUAAUCGAAACACGAAAAUGCAAAAGUGGGUAAAAUUGGUGAUUUUUCAACGUCGGGGUGGAAUUGAAAAAGGGCUAAAAGGUAGAGUUUUUAAGACAUUAGGCCUUUUCUUGGUAAUUGAAUUUUAUCGUUAUUUUGUUUGUUUUCGAUUUGAUUGGAAUUUAAAUUUUAGGGUUUUGAAAAAAUUGGAUUUAUAAUGAAACUCACCGAGAAUUUGGUGUUGAUUGGAA